AGCUGACCGGCCCUACGGCCUUUUUUACAACUCAUAACAUACAAAGAGUAACAACAGUUACAACAUGACGCCCAGUGACCGGCAAUUGCUACCGACAGCGCGCUCUUCGCUACACCCAACUAUCAACGUCAUCAAUUAUCCUCCACAACCUCACCCGCUUUCCAUUACAGAACCCCAUUGUAGAGGAAACAGUUGCAGCAAAGGGAGCCAGCGAGAGUUUUGUGCUGCUGAGCGUGAGUUUCCGCGGUAGGAGUGGACGAGAGUGUGGGCUUUUGUGCUAUUGAGCUGUCAAAUCACCGCCAUUGUGCACACAUUGACAGGCCGUUCGAAAACCUAAAUUGGAUUAUGAUCACCAAUUUCAGGAAUAAUACGUAGGCAUAUAUAUGUCACCGCCUCGCUCCAUUUCUGACUUCGCAGCAUAUAUAUGGGGAUGGAUACAUGUGGAUAUGAGCAAAUGAGCCAAUGCUGGCACAAUCUAUGCGAACAGCAGGACAUAAUUAGAGUGCGUCCUGCCGAGUGCCUGAAGCAGUCGAUGGAUACAUUUGGAAAUGGAUUCCAGACAAAGGAAGGAGGCAUUGUCUAGAUAAUACUAGCAGAGACGACAAAAUUAAAUUUUAUUCCAUUUCUUUGACAAAUGUGUACGUAAUGGUCAAUGUUCUCAGCUCUGGCAGCCGUCAUGGAAUGUAAAACUCAUGUCGUAUUUCUAGGAAGACAUUGUAAAUCGAAAAUGUCCAAAAAUCAUUGUUAAAAUAGCUAAAUGAUUUUAGAGUCAAGAGCAGAUUAAUGAAAUGUUUUGCAGAUACCGACAGACUUUAAUAACGAUCCACAGGGUUUGACGCAGGAGCUGUCUAAGAAAUGAAUAUUGCUUCAAAGGAGACUAAUGAAACUCCUGAAGACUACUUAUUAACGUUCUCAGACUUUUUCCGAAAUCAAUGUCAUAAAUCAAAUGACUACAGUGGAGACACACAUAGAAUCAGCAGUAGCGCUGAUGGGACAAAUUGUUGUUGGAAAAAGUUGUGCACUUAUCCUUUUCUACUUUGAAGUUUAAAAAUUUAUGCAUUUCCAGUCUCUUAUAAACUACAGACUUUGUAGAAAUUGCUUUUGGCUGAAUGCCAACCAAGCCGACAAUAACGGUAAAAAGGUAUAUAAACAAAAUGUUGAGCAGCAGCAAGUAAACAGCAGCAGCCUGAAUUUAUAACACAUACGUCAACUCGUAUUGUUAUUUUGCAAUUUCUCAUUGUUGCCAUUUGCUGGCAACCCGCUUGACUGCUGUCACAUACGCGCACAUGUGUGUGUAGUGUACGUAUGGGUGUAGUAGUAUGUGUGGAACUUCUUGGUACAGGGAAACUCCUUUCACACUUUUGUUUAUUUUUUACUUUGUAUUUCUCCCGAAAAUAAAUAUUU
rnacentral:lncRNA from 1 species